AUUGAACGCUGGCGGCAGGCUUAACACAUGCAAGUCGAGCGGGGGAGGUUGCUUCGGUAACUGACCUAGCGGCGGACGGGUGAGUAAUGCUUAGGAAUCUGCCUAUUAGUGGGGGACAACAUUCCGAAAGGAAUGCUAAUACCGCAUACGCCCUACGGGGGAAAGCAGGGGAUCUUCGGUCCUUGCGCUCAUAGAUGAGCCUAAGUGGGAUUGGCUAGUUGGUGGGGUAAAGGCCUACCAAGGCGACGACCUGUAGCGGGUCUGAGAGGAUGAUCCGCCACACUGGGACUGAGACACGGCCCAGACUCCUACGGGAGGCAGCAGUGGGGAAUAUUGGACAAUGGGGGCAACCCUGAUCCAGCAAUACCGCGUGUGUGAAGAAGGCCUGCGGGUUGUAAAGCACUUUCAGUUGGAAAGAAAAGCCUAAGGCUAAUACCUUUGGGUCUUGACGUUACCAUCAGAAGAAGCACCGGCUAACUCCGUGCCAGCAGCCGCAGUAACAC
rnacentral:rRNA from 1 species